GGAACAGCAGGGGCGGUGAGGAGACCGAUUGAUCCUCACACUGACACUCAGAGGCUGCGCUGCUCCUGCUGCAAAAUGGCGGCCGGUAGCGAAGCUGCAAGCGGCCAUAGCCGCGGCUCAAGCGCUGUCCUCGAAUCCUCUUUAGAACGGCGAUUUCAAGGCGUCUCGAACACGAUGGAGUCGAUUCAAGGACUAUCGACGUGGUGCAUCGAGAACAAGAAAUAUCACAGUGUAAUCGUGCGGACCUGGCUGAAGUGGGUGCGAAAAUCGGACUCUUCUCAAAGGCUCAAUCUCUUCUACCUGGCCAAUGAUGUCAUUCAGAAUUGCAAGAGGAGAAAUGCGAUCGUCUACCGUACCACCUUCACUGAUGUUUUGCCCGAAGCUAUUAAACUCAUCAGUACUGUAAAAGACUCUAAGGUGCGGAAAUCCGUGGACAGGAUCCUGGCCAUCUGGGAAGAGAGAAAUGUUUACUCAGAUGAGUUUAUUAACAAGCUUAAAGGUGGUCUUAUUCAGCAAGAAGAACCACCAGUUUCAGCUCCCGUCACCCCAAAAGCUGCACUGAGAUCCAAGAUAGUUGCUGAGUUUUUGCCGUCAGCAUUUAUGGAGCAUCUCACCAAGUACAGAAAAUCUAUGGAUGAGAUUGAGCUAAGAGAGAAGCAGCUAGCUGCGAUGAGAGUGGAUGUCUGCAGCACAGUAGCUCUGAAGAAACUCAAAGAUAAAGCAGGUGGUAAGCGGUUUUCUAAAGAUUUUGAAGAUGGUAGUGCAAAACUGCAGGACUUCGUAGCCUUUCUGGAAGGAGAGGUUAAAAAAGGACCUUCUCUGAUGGAGGCUCUGGAGAAUGCUGACAUUUUCUAUGAGAUGCAGUACAAAGAGGUCAAGAUAGUCACCAAUGCUUAUCAGACUUUUGCCAAUCGUGUGUUGCAUCUCAAGAAGAAAUUGGAUGCAAUCAAAGCUUCUUUACCUGACCAAGAUGACUCACCAAUCCCUUCCCCCUCUGAGGACGCACCAUCACCCACGGGUUCUGAGUCACCCUUCCAUGGCUUAACGCGCAUUGGUACCCCAGACCCAGAGCUAGAUGGUAAGGCGUUGGAGGAGGACCUGAUUGCGCUCUGUGAUGCACCUAGCCCACUCUCAUCCCCUGGGGACAGAGACAAUCGUGACAUAGAGGACAUGGAGCUCUCAGAUACUGAGGACUUGGUGGAACCAGCCAUCAUAGUAUCAGAAAGGACAGAGCAACCUGGCCCUGCCAGUGUGUCCAAUCAGAGUCUGGCUCUUGGUGUGACUGAACCAUCUCAAUCCAUUCAGACUGCAACUGAGAAUGAAACUACAACACCAGCACCAUCCACAACCCCAAUAACAGGGUCCCUUCCCAUUAAUCUGGCGGGUGUGGAUUUGGGCAAAAUCAGCUCUAUUAUUAGCACACUUACAAAUGUCAUGAAGAACACUGCUACAGUAAGCCCAGCAUUUCGCUCUGCCACCAGUUCAUCAAGCACCCUUUCUUCAGCAAGUUCAACCCCCACGGUCUCUUCUUCGCCAGUCGUACCUGCAUCUAACUCGCUGGCGAAAAUACUUUCCCGGGUGGACAUCAACCCUGGCACCCUGCUGAACGUCCUGUCUAAAACCCAAUCACAAGGGAUUGGGCUUCAGGGACUGUCUUCUUUCCUGAACAGUCAAACUGCCAUAAACUCAAAUCCUACAGGCUCAAAUUUGGGCCCAUCCUCAGACCCCACUUUUAAAGCCCAUGAAUCUCCUAAUACCAAUUCAGUUUCACCUGCACCUACAGUGCUGAGAGGCAAUACCCCUCAAAGGGCUGGGACUCUCCAGUCUUCUCAAACUCCCAGCACUAUUCAGAGCAGGGAUCUUCAGAAGGAAGCCGAGGAACACAAAGAGGAGUCAGUUGUUUCUGUCAGCUCUACACUGGACUCCAAAAUUGAUGGAUUCCUUCAGGGCAAUCCAGGACUGAGAGGCUUAAAUAUGGGUUUACCACCUGUUCUUUCGUGGAAUAAAGCUGUUGAUAGUCCUUCAGCCAGCACAGAAAACCUUGGGGGAACUCCUGUGAGGGAUGAGUCUGGUGCAACACCAACUCAAGAUGAGGUCAUGGAUGAGCCUGCAGUACAACCAUUUUUGUAUCAAGGAAGACCUCUGCAAACAGCUUCAACAGCUGCUUCUGCACCCACAGCAGUCACUGGACUGCCUAUGUCCACGUUUCCUCCUGACUCCUGGCAAUAUGGUCCUGGGUCAGUUCAUAGUGGUGAUCACUACCAGAGAGACUUUACAGUAAAACAAAGUUUCCAAAGUUCCGGAAUGCCUCUUAGUGAAAGAGGGCGUCCUCAGAAUGUCGAGUCUUUGUUGCCAAUAUCAAUGGCAGACAAGAAUCAGAGCUUCAAUAAAAACAAUGAGACCCUGAAGGGAAUUAGCCUAGGGACACCUUUCUCUAGUAAUGGAGCAGACAAUGCUAGCGAUGGCUGGUAUUGUGAUGCACGUGGACAUGAUCAAAAGCAGCAUGUUAGCAACUCUGAAUCAUAUAAAGGAAAGCAGCAGCAGUCUGAAGAUCACAUACAUGAUACCAACCCUCCCAAUUUCUUCAACACCCCAUUACCACCCCCUCCACCAAUCCCUCAGCUUCCACCUCCACCUCAAGAAUUUCUCCCUCCAGUGGUAGGUCAAAGAGUCAAAGAUCCUACUGACUUGACCAGUAUCACAGACAACGUACAGACUGGUGGUGAUGUCGCACCCUAUCGCUUAACAAAUUCUGUUUCUCAUGAUGAUUACGAUGAGCGUCUCAAUCGGAUCCCAGUCAAGGAGAUUUUCCGUCCUCAUCUGAAUGCCCCAGGCCCACGGCAUUGUGCAACUGCUCCACAUCCUGUUCGCCUGGGCCCCCCGAAUGGCCCUAUGGACUUUAAUCAUCGUCCUAGAAUCCCUGUUCACAAUCAGCUUCACCCUUGUAUGGCUCGUCCAAGUGCCCCAUCUACUGUAAGGAGGUACCAUGAGGCUCUUAGUCCCUCACAUGCUCCGUCUGAUGAUGCAUAUUUGGACCCACACUGUGAUGCUCCCCCUCGCAGCCCUUCUCCUCCUCCUUACAAUGUCGAGCACCCUGUCUCACCUCACACUCCCACGUUUUAUCCAGAAGAGAGAGCCAUCAUGCCAAUGCACCAUCCAGAACCUAGAUUACGUCCCCGACUCGAGCACAGGACUCCUCCGCCACAUCACUAUCGCCCUCCACGGCCUGGUCACUUCCCACCACAGAGACCUCUUCGCCGUCCUCCACCGCCACAUCAUGUCCCUCAUCCCAAUGAGCCACCAUUCCAGAGAGGGAAGAGACUCGGCCCUCCUUUUGGAGCUCCUUCAAGACCCCCAGGUCCAUUUUAUCCUCCAAAAAGACCGUUCCUGCCACCGAGGUACUGAACUGUCUAAACAGUAGAGUACAGGAUUGACGUGCUGACAUCCACAUAAUGCCAAUCUUCCACUAGGCUUCAUAAGAUUAGACUCUGACAGUCAGUACAUGUAGAAAGAACACAGACCUCAUGCAGCUUGAGGACCUGUGCUCUCUGAGCGGCGAUCUCUACAUGGGCUGUGAAGGGAUGUGGCUGUGUCUUCGCGUAACGAGAGCGAGAGCAAGAGAGUGGGGGACAAAAAAGAUGACUGAAGUAGAAGAGAAUCACUACAGGGAUCUGGAAGGGAAGAUGGAUCAUGCAAGUGGAGCAGCCAUGAAAUUGCAAGAUAAAGAGAAAAUGAGGAUGGUAUUUCUGACUCCAGUGUGAAGUUGCUGGUCUGUCUGAGCUCUGACUGGUCUGUCACGGCCUUUCGUUCAGCGCCGAAGGAGCUAAAAGACUAGACGAAACAUCGUUCCUCUGGUCGCCUUCUGUGAGUGUGGGUGUUUGUGUGUGGGUGUUUUUAUUACUCGCUUUUAUUAUGCAGUGAGGUCUGUUUUGUGAUUUCUGUACUCUGGAACUCUCUCUCACUCUCUUCGUUCGGCUCUCCGUGAAGCCGUGCUUCUGUUUGACGGUGAUGUUUGUAUCAGAAAACUAAAAAAAAACCCCUAAGGAUUUACCUGAGUUUUCUCUGCGUUUAUCACCAUCUCGGGAUUGUAAAUCCUGGAGUCUUCUCCUUGCUCCUGCUUUUCUGCCCAUCUGAUCCCAAGGUUAGACAGGGAUUAUGGUUUUGACUCCAGAGCUUUUCUUCUUAAAUGACUUCUCCCAACUGUCACUGUCUUCACUUUAUAUCACAUUCUGUCCUAAAGGUUUUUAUCUCUUGUUACUGAUCGUUAAAAAAAAACUUCCAUAAAAGUGUUAAUCUUCUAUUAUGGAAUUCACAAAACACUUCUUUCUCUUUUUCUGCAGGGUAACGUGAGCUGCCCAAAAGUCUGUAGUAGAAACAUGGUGUUUGUGUCACCACGAUGAAGUUAAGAUCCUGACAGGUUAUGUUCUCUACACAACGUGUGUCCUUACGGUUGCUAACUCGGUACAGAGGAAAAGGUCACAUCACUGAUUUGGAUAAUAAACACGCAGCAAUGUGAAUUUCAUUAUGGCAGCUGUCUGCUUGUUUCAGGU